CAACAUGAGGCCCGUGGACCAAAAGCGGUCCGGUCCUCCAGAGGGUCCAACAUGAGGCCCGUGGACCAAAAGCGGUCCGGUCCUCCAGAGGGUCCAACAUGAGGCCCGUGGACCAAAAGCGGUCCUCCAGAGGGUCCAACAUGAGGCCCGUGGACCAAAAGCGGUCCGGUCCUCCAGAGGGUCCAACAUGAGGCCCGUGGACCAAAAGCGGUCCUCCAGAGGGUCCAACAUGAGGCCCGUGGACCAAAAGCGGUCCUCCAGAGGGUCCAAUAUGAGGCCCGUGGACCAAAAGCAGUCCUCCAGAGGGUCCAACAUGAGGCCCGUGGACCAAAAGUGGUCCUCCAGAAGGUCCAACAUGAGGCCCGUGGACCAAAAGCGGUCCGGUCCUCCAGAGGGUCCAACAUGAGGCCCGUGGACCAAAAGCGGUCCUCCAGAGGGUCCAACAUGAGGCCCGUGGACCAAAAGCGGUCCGGUCCUCCAGAGGGUCCAACAUGAGGCCCGUGGACCAAAAGCGGUCCGGUCCUCCAGAGGGUCCAACAUGAGGCCCGUGGACCAAAAGCGGUCCUCCAGAGGGUCCAACAUGAGGCCCGUGGACCAAAAGCGGUCCUCCAGAAGGUCCAACAUGAGGCCCGUGGACCAAAAGCGGUCCGGUCCUCCAGAGGGUCCAACAUGAGGCCCGUGGGCCAAAAGUGGUCCUCCAGAGGGUCCAACAUGAGGCCCGUGGACCAAAAGUGGUCCUCCAGAAGGUCCAACAUGAGGCCCGUGGACCAAAAGCGGUCCGGUCCUCCAGAGGGUCCAACAUGAGGCCCGUGGACCAAAAGCGGUCCGGUCCUCCAGAGGGUCCAACAUGAGGCCCGUGGACCAAAAGCGGUCCGGUCCUCCAGAG